rnacentral:rRNA from 2 species
CCUUGACCUCAAAUCGGGUGAGACUACCCGCUGAACUUAAGCAUAUCAAA